AGGAGCCGUAUGCGGUAAUUCUGUACGUACGGAUCUGUGCGGGGGCAGAUGACUGCCAUUCCUACCGCGAG
rnacentral:misc_RNA from 1 species